rnacentral:lncRNA from 1 species
CCUUUAAUGCCCUGGCUGUAUAUGGCUCCAUAACCUUCCUUAGAUCCAUGGAGAGCUGCCGGACGUUCCGACCCACUCGACCCCGAUGGAACACGAAGGAAUGAGGAACCGACCCAAAAUCCUCCUGGUUCCGGAUCAACGCGGCCGAGCGCUGCUUCUUCUGGUUCUUACUCUGCCCAGACCCAGAACCGGGGCAGGAAUUAAUGGGGUGGGGGGGGUUUGGGUCCGGUUCCGGCCCUGAUCCCCCCAGGUUCUGGGUCCAAAUCCCUUCUGGUUCUGUAUCUCUGGUUCUAGAUCCAUUAUUGGGUCCAGAACCCUUCCCCCAUCCCAUUAACUUUGGGUCUGGUUCCGUCCCUGAUCACCCCAGGUUCUGGGUCCAAAUCCCUUCUGGUUCCGUAUCUCUGGUUCUAGAUCCAUUAUUGGGUCCAGAACCCUUCCCCCAUCCCAUUAAGUUUGGGUCCGGUUCUGUCCCUGACCCCCAAGUUCUGGGUCCAAAUCCCUUCUGGUUCCGUAUCUCUGGUUCUAGAUCCAUUAUUGGGUCCAGAACCCUACCAGAAUCCCACUUUGGUUCCUCCGAUCCCAUUAACUUUGGGUCCGGUUCCAGCCCUGAUCCCCCCAGGUUCUAGGUCCAAACCCUAUUCUGGUUCCAUAUCUCUGGUUCUAGAUCCCUUCUUGGGUCCAGAACCCCCCCUUGGUUCCCCCCAACCCAUUAAGUUUGGGUCCGGUUCCGUCCCUGAUCCCCCCAAGUUCUGGGUCCAAACCCUAUUCUGGUUCCGUAUCUCCGGUUCUAGAUCCAUUAUUGGGUCCAGAACCUACCAGAAUCCCACUUUGGUUCCUCCGAUCCCAUUAACUUUGGGUUCGGUUCCGGCCCUGAUCACCCCAAGUUCUGGGUCCAAAUCCCUUCUGGUUCCGUAUCUCUAGUUCUAGAUCCAUUAUUGGGUCCAGAACCUUCCAGAACCCCCUUUAGGUUCCGGAUCCCCCUUUGGUUCUGGAUCCCAUUAACUUUGGGUCCAAUUCCCUCCCUUAACCCCCAAGUUCUGGGUCCACCCCCCCCUCUGGUUCUGGUUCCAUAUCUCCGGUUCUAGAUCCAUUAUUGGGCCCAGAACCCUCCAGAACCCCCUUUAGGUUCCGGAUCCCCCUUUGGUUCUGGACCCCAUUAACUUUGGGUCCAAUUCCCCCCCUUAACCCCCAAGUUCUGGGUCCAAACCCCCUUUUGGUUCCAUAUCUCCGGUUCUAGAUCCCUCAUUGGGUCCAGAACCUUCCAGAAUCCCCCUCUUGGUUCCGGAUCCCCCUUUGGUUCUGGAUCCCAUUAAGUUCGGGUCCAAUUCCCCCCCCACCCCCAAGUUCUAGGUCCAACCCCCCCUUUUGGUUCCAUAUCUCCAGUUCUAGAUCCCUUAUUGGGUCCAGAACCUUCCAGAACCGUUCCGGAUCCCCUUUGGUUCUGGAUCCCAUUAACUUUGGGUCCAAUUCCCUCCCUUAACCCCCAAGUUCUGGGUCCAACCCCCCCCACUCUGGUUCUGGUUCUAGAUCUCCAGUUCUAGAUCCCUCAUUGAGUCCAGAACCUUCCAGAACCAUCAGAAGAGAGGGGGGGGGGGUAAUAGGGGGACACGGAAGCCGGGUUCGGGG